GAUUUGUGCUCCAGGGUCACGUUUCAGUUUUUGUACUUCAAAAAGUCACUGUUAUUUGCUGUUCAUUUGUAAUUGUUUGUGAAAUUGUAGGCAGUUUCAAGCAAUUUGCGUACAUGUAGAUAACAAAAAAAAUACUCAAAAAAAAAAAAAAAUACUGAAUCACACAUAAUAAACAAUCUAGCGCAGAAUAAUAAAUGUAAAUGAUCAUAUUGUGUGUGCAGUGUAAUAAAAUGUGUGACGCGGCGCGCGCUCUCGUGGACAGCGGGAGCGCGCGUGUGAUUGGUCGCGGACCCUGCGCGUUCACGCUCUAGUUGUGAGAUUUGCGCGCCGCCGCUCGCUGGAGGAGAGGGAAGCGAUAGUUGUCACAUCGAGGGGCAAAUAACUCACCGUUUUCAUGAAUAACUGCCCCUUCAGCGCGACCGCCAGCUGACGCACUGCCCUGCGCGAACCCACGCGGACGGAGGAGCGACGCGGCGCGAUCGUGCGAGGAGUAUCCGGUGUUGUUCCUCUGCUCCAGUAUGGCUCAGCCGAGCUCGUGUGCUCAGAGCAGUAACGGUGUGGCCGACGAGUCUCCCAACAUGCUGGUCUACAGGAAAGUGCCGGUCCUUCAUCGUGUGUUUGAAGUCGUCUCAGCUGAGAGACCCUCACAGCGCUUCAGAUCUCUGACCUUCACCGUGACCAGAUCUGUGUUCAGGUCUCAUACUGCUGUCAGCAUCAGGGAUGUCUGAGAACUGCUCUUAGAUCCGUAUUUACCUGCUGUUGACCGGCGAACUACUCAACCUAAAAAUGUAACUGCAACGUGUUUCAAGUGACGUUCUCUUUACUAACCAUCGGGUUAAACAAAGUUCUGUUCC